GAGAACUAGGAAAAAGCGUUGUCAAUAGCUCACACCAAGAUAUAGAGUUGCGAAUUCAGGGAAUCAUUGUCGCAGCGCGUCAGAAAAAAUAUAGUGCUGGAGAGGGGCUCAAAGAAGACAUGCACUCUGUAGCACAGCGGACCUGGUCCGCGUCAUGUUAUUCCUGCGGUUGUCCAUCAUAGUACUCGCUGCUGUUUGCGUCAGCGACGCAGCUACCUGGUGGCAUCACGUACCCUCUGGAGAAAGAAAUGUGAUGAUAGGUGCCUGGUGGGACAUAGAUCCAAAUGGCGCUGUUGCUAGAGAGAUGACAAAAUUUGUCAUAGACAGAAUGAGAGCCAGCGGAGAUUCCCGUACAGUUAGGAAAGUCGUGCGUGUCCAAGAACAAGUGGUUUCGGGAAGGAACUACAGGCUGACAUUGAUUCUUCGGAGACACUGUGAUGGAGCAUCCGUGACAGCGGUACCCUGGCCUCGGGAUUUCACUUGUGUAGCACAUGUCUAUGAUGUGCCCUGGCUCCACUCCCGGACACUGGUGUCGUUGCACUGCAUAGAACCUAGGAGACUGCAUCUCAAGAAAUAUUAAAGGAAUAAUUGUACCAUUGAUGUGUUUAUUGAUCAGCGCUGAGUAUGUAACAUAGGACUGCAUACCCACUGCAGGUGCAUUAAACAUCUCGUCGGAAUCUUAUACUUCAAAGACUA